rnacentral:rRNA from 1 species
GACGAACGCUGGCGGCGUGCUUAACACAUGCAAGUCGAACGGAAAGGCCCUGCUUUUGUGGGGUGCUCGAGGGGCGAACGGGGGAGUAACACGUGAGUAACCUGCCCUUGACUUUGGGAUAACUUAAGGAAACUGGGGCUAAUACGGGAUAGGAGCUCCUGCUGCAUGGUGGGGGUUGGAAAGUUUCGGCGGUUGGGGAUGGACUCGCGGCUUAUGAGCUUGUUGGUGGGGUAGUGGCUUACCAAGGCUUUGACGGGUAGCCGGCCUGAGAGGGUGACCGGCCACAUUGGGACUGAGAUACGGCCCAGACUCCUACGGGAGGCAGCAGUGGGGAAUAUUGCACAAUGGGCGGAAGCCUGAUGCAGCAACGCCGCGUGCGGGAUGACGGCCUUCGGGUUGUAAACCGCUUUCGCCUGUGACGAAGCGUGAGUGACGGUAAUGGGUAAAGAAGCACCGGCUAACUACGUG